rnacentral:rRNA from 1 species
AUUGAACGCUGGCGGCAGGCCUAACACAUGCAAGUCGAGCGAGCGGCGGACGGGUGAGUAAUGUCUGGGAAACUGCCUGAUGGAGGGGGAUAACUACUGGAAACGGUAGCUAAUACCGCAUACCAUCAGAUGUGCCCAGAUGGGAUUAGCUAGUAGGGGGGGUAACGGCUCACCUAGGCGACGAUCCCUAGCUGGUAUGAGAGGAUGACCAGCCAAACUGGAACUGAGACAGGGUCCAGACUCCGACGGGAGGCAGAAGUGGGGAAUAUUGCACAAUGGGCGCAAGCCUGAUGCAGCCAUGCGGGGGGUGUGAAGAAGGCCUUCGGGUGGUAAGGCACUUUCAGCGGGGAGGCGUUACCCGCAGAAGAAGCACCGGCUAACUCCGUGCCAGCAGCCGCGGUAAUAC